UGGGUAAUCUGCCCUCGAUUCUGGGAUAGCCCGGGGAAACCCGGAUUAAUACCGGAUAGCCUCUCGAGCUUACGAGCUCGUGAGAAAAGGUAGCUUCGGCCUCCGAUCGAGGAUGAGCCCGCGGCGGAUUAGCUUGUUGGUGGGGUAAUGGCCUACCAAGGCGACGAUCAGUAGCUGGUCUGAGAGGAUGACCAGCCACACUGGGACUGAGACACGGCCCAGACUCCUAGGGAGG
rnacentral:rRNA from 1 species